rnacentral:misc_RNA from 1 species
CGUUCGUUGCCUCGCCUAUCCACCUCCUCUGCCGCAACACAUGUACGAGUGUGUCCUUCUCUCGAUCCUCGAACGAGAUACCGCUGUAGCGUUCAUACGCUAAUAUCACUCUGUUUAUCUUAUAAUCGUGCUCGUAUACGUUUCCUGCCCCUGUCGCCAUGCAAACAUACUGCCGCGUCCUACCUUUGUUUCCAUGUUUACAGCGUGUUCGAUCGUUUGUUUUAUUUUAUGGGAAAUAAAGUUUACUCUCGCGGCGUUCGCAUCGUCUUCAUCGACGCUAUCCCAAAGAAGAAGGGAUAGGUUAGAAGCAACAUCAGGCUGUUCUUUUCUAUCCGAAGAGAAAUAGAGAUAAUCGACGCAAUAAUAUUCUUACGUGUUACGCGAAAGAGAGAAUACUUACAAGAGAGAGAGAGAGAGAGAGAGAAAUUGUUCGCUAUUCUUCGGGCGUAUCAUUUGCAAAAGUCGCGUUUGAGGAAUUCAACGAGCGAAGAGCAGGAUGGAAUCCCGAUCAAAUGCCAAGAGCCACGUAAUUUUCAGAGACCCGAAUGUUUUUUGAGCGAACAGUACGCAGAAGCGGCGGGCGUGGAGAAGGGAAAAGGGCGUAGUAAGUCAUACGGAGAGGCUCGUACGUCAUCCUCCAUCCGGGCCAACGGAGCAACAC